GCUUUUAAAAUUGGUUAUCUAAGAACCGAUUUUGUAUAUAUACAAAAUCGGUUCUUAAAUAACCGAUUUUAAAAGU
rnacentral:miRNA from 1 species